rnacentral:lncRNA from 1 species
GUGUUUUAGCGUGUGUGUUUCUGGUCAUUCGGAUUUUCUUCUGUCUUCCUUUAGUAAACAUUCAUCUACGUCAGGUAAUAUUACAAAAAAUUAACAAAAAAAUAUGUUUUAAUUAAUUAUGGUAGAAUCAAGUAUCAAGAAAUGUUUUUUACUGAAUACUGUAAACCAACUUAUUUUUGCGAUACUUAUUUCGCGUUUUACCCUUUCUUGACCCUUUUGCGGCUAUUUAUUUUCGCGAUUUUCUGAUUUACUUGAUGAAGUUUAAUAAGGAAAGAUAAAAAUUUUAACAUAUUCUCUAUGAUUUAUAUUCGCGUUAUUUUUCUACUUGCGAAAAUCGCGAAAAAAAAUUUCGCAUGCGAAAAUAAGUUGGUUUACAGUAUUCCAGUGUAGAAUAUUUUUCAUGAUAAGAAUAUUUAAUAAUAUCAUUGGAAUUUUUAUGACUAAUGAUACAAAGAUCAAUCAGCCUUUUUUUAAAUUCUUGUACAUAUAAAAAGCCUGCUCUUCUUUUUAUAAUAUUCAUGAAAUUGAUGAGUUGCAAUUUAAAAUAACUUGUAAGCUCAUAUUUAUUUGUUUAUACCUUUUUAUAAUCAAAUAGAGAAAUGUACUAAUUUUAAGUUUUUUUUCAAUGUUACCAAUCAGCUCACUCUCUGUUAAACAGGUAGUGAAGUAAGUGAAAAUACUAGUGCUGUGAUAAAAGACACUGUCAUUCAUAAGGUUAGUAAAUCAAGGGAUACAGCCUGUAUGUGUAAAAACUUGGGGCUCCUAAACCUUCCAAGAAUCAGAUCAGUUUGAAUAGAAAUGUUUGGUUAGCUUAAAAGUGACAUGGUGAUUGUAUGCAAUUUUUAAACAUGUUUUUAUGCCCCACUUACGAUAGUAGAGGGGCAUUAUGUUUUCUGGUCUGUCCGUCUGUUUGUCCGUCCUUCCGUUUUUCCAUCCUUCCGUUCGUCUGUUCAUCCGUCUGUCCCACUUCAGGUUAAAGCUUUUGGUCAAGGUACUUUUUGAUGAAGUUGAAGUCCAAUCAGCUCGAAACUAAGUACACAUGUUCCCUAUGGUAUGAUCUUUCUAAUUUUAAUACCAAAUUAGAUUUUUUACCCAAUUUCACGGUCCAUCAAGCAUGAAAAAUGAUAGCGAGAGUGGGGCAUCCAUGUACUUUGGACACAUUUUUGUUGUGAAUAAAGGGGAUACACUAAAUGAGCCUCAUUGGUUCCAAUAUAAUUUUAUUUUUGUUUAGAGCUAUUCCAGAAAAAAAUGUAUGGGGGGGGGGAGUUGGAAGGCACAUUGUAUUAAUAAUACAUGGGUGAUGGGUAUCAGAGCAAGUUUUCACACUAUAAUGACUAUAAUUCUCAAUUACAAUUGUCUGGGUGACAGGUGCUGACAAAAACUGCCUUCCAACCCCCCCCCCCCUACAUUUUUUUCUGGAAUAGCCCUUAGCUGUCUCAUCAACAUAAAUGAUGUAUCUUGUUUAGUUGACAAUAACAAAAUUCUGGCACAAUUUAAUAUGUUUUCCAACUGAUUUAACCUAUAAAAGAAAGAAAGUAACCUUAUAUGUGUUGAAUCCACAGAUAAAGGAAUGUGUUAUGGUUAUUGAUAAUUUCAAUAUUUUAUUUCAGUGUUUUGAGACAACACUCCAGAUUCAGUAUAGUGGUGGUGAGGGAUUAACGGCAGGGUUCUGUCGACUCUGCUCUAUAGCUUUUACUGUAGAUAUUUUACCUUCUGUGAUAUUUGUAAACUGGGAUGUUCUUCCUGCUGAGAGGUAAGUGAAGCUAGAAUAGGAUAACAAUUACAGGAUACCAGUCCAGUAUUCAUCAAUGAAAUCCCUUAAUAAAUCUAUCAUAUUUUCACUGGGAUAUCGUACCAAAAGAAAGUUACUGAGGAUGCAUUAAGGAUGUACUUAGGUGAGGUUUGGGAAUUCCUGUCAAAUGUUCGGACUCCUUGGUGUUUUUCCACACAAAGUCAAUGCAAGGUAAAAUAUUUUGCCCCAUAACACCCAUUUAUUUUUUCAUAUAAGACUUAAUAGCUCAUGAAAGGUCAUUUACCAAAAUUUUAGAAGAUUCUUCACUAGAUUUUUUAUGCCCCACCUACGAUAGUAGAGGGGCAUUAUGUUUUCUGGUCUGUGCGUCCGUUCGUCCGUUCGUUCGUCCGUCCGUUCGUCCGUCUGUCCUGCUUCAGGUUAAAGUUUUUGGUCAAGGUAGUUUUUGAUGAAGUUGAAGUCCAAUCGACUUCAAACUUAGUACACAUGUUCCCUAUGAUAUGAUCUUUCUAAAUUUAAUGCCAAAUUAGAGUUUUUACCCCAAUUUCACGGUCCACUGAAUAUGGAAAAUGAUAGUGCGAGUGGGGCAUUCGUGUACUGAGGACACAUUCUUGUUUUCUUUUGUUUUGAGACCCAAAUAAUACCAAUGCAAAUGUAAUGUAAAAGUAUGAGUCAGCCUUUUCCCGCCAUAUUUAAAAUCUCAAAUAUCUCGAAAAGGAGGUCCAUAACCUAAUCAAUAUUUUAAUCUUAUUUCUAUCCUUAACGAAGGCUCUACCGGCUUAUAGUAUUAAUUUUAAAUUCUUGAUUUAUUAAUUUUUACCUAACCUCACCUAAGUACAUCCUUAAUAUUCAUUGGAUACCAAUUUUUUUAUGGAUUACGUGGAAACAGGGGAACCACGAAUUUAAAUAUUCAACAAACUACAAAUUUUCAUAUAGGGAGACAUUUCCAAAACCAUGAAUUUUAAUGUCCUUGAAAAAGGAAGUUGUCCUCAACCCAGGAAUAAUUGGUACCCACAAAUAAUAAAUGAAUCCACAGUAUGUACAAAAUGAUGUAAAAAGGCUUAAAUUUGUAGCAUAUUCAUAGGGUAUUCAUUAAAAUUACUUACAAGAGAGCCGUGGUGUAGUGGUUAGUGCAUCGUACUACUAACACAAAGGUUCCUGGUUCGAUUCCCGUCUGGGAUGAAAAUUUCAGGAACUGAAUUUUCGGCUCUCCCUUGACAUCAUUUGCGAGUAUGGUCUCGAGGAAAAGAUGAUAGUCCGUCGGAAGGGGACGAUAAAUGGCUGACCCGUGUUAAGAGAGAGCCAUAUCUCUUGCACGUUAAAGACACCCUUGUAGAUUUCGAAAAAGAGCAGGCUAAUGCCGCUACAAGGCAGCACUCGCAUCUGCAAAGUGGAAAGGGAUUAAUAUAAGUUGCAAAACUUGUUUCCCAAUCAACUAUAAAUAAAUAUGUUUAAACUAAAAUGACUAUUUAAAUAAGACAACUUUCCAACGGAGACCAAAUGACCUAGAAGUAAAAUGAGAAGUCACGUCUACAUAUGAUUCUAAUUGAAUAAAAUUUAUUGUUUAUAGUGUUUUAUGAUUUCAGUCAUUAUAGUCUCCUGUAAGAUGUAAUUCUUUUACCUAAUAAUGAAGACUAAUAAUUACAGAAUAAUUAAUUUUGUGGCAAUUGCCAUUGCAGCUCUACUGAGCUUUGAUUAUAGUUUGUCCUUAUGUUGUGCUGUGACACCACUGCUCCAUGUUAGAAGGUUAUGGGUCUGCAAACAUGAUUUAUUCCAUCACAUUAUGUAUGUAGGUAUAAGAAGAUGUGGUAUGUGUGCCAAUAAGACAAGUCUCCAUCCAAGUCACAAUUUGCAAAAGUAAACCCAUUAGCCAUUGCUUGACCCUUAUGUUUUGAUGUCCCAACUGCACUCUUAUCUUUAUAUUCCAGCCCUGACCAUUGUAUUUUGAUGUCAUGACCACACACAUAUCUUUAUAUUUCAGCCCUGACCAUUGCAUUUUGAUGUCUUGACCACACACUUAUCUUUAUAGUACAGCCCUGACCACUGUGUUUUGAUGUCUUGACCACAAAAAUAUCAUUAUAUUACAGCCCUGACCAUUGCAUUUUGAUAUCUUGACCACAUACUUAUCUUUAUAUUACAGCCCUGACCAUUACAUUUUGAUGUCUUGACCACACACUUUUCUUUAUAUUACAGCCCUGACCACUGUGUUUUAGUAUUUGAUGUUAAGAAUGUGAGUGGACAUCAGAUAGAUG